GACGAACGCUGGCGGCGUGCUUAACACAUGCAAGUCGAACGGGUCUGCCCUGUUUUUUGCGGGGUGGGUCAGUGGCGAACGGGUGAGUAACACGUGAGUAACCUGCCCCUCACUUCUGGAUAACCGCUUGAAAGGGUGGCUAAUACGGGGUGUUCUGGCUGUGCCGCAUGGUGUGGCUGGGAAAGAUUCACUUUUGUGGUGUUUUGGUGGGGGAUGGGCUCGCGGCCUAUCAGCUUGUUGGUGGGGUGAUGGCCUGCCAAGGCUUUGACGGGUAGCCGGCCUGGGAGGGUGGGCGGUCACACUGGGACUGAGAUACGGCCCAGACUCCUGCGGGAGGCAGCAGGGGGGGGUAUUGCACAAUGGGCGGAAGCCUGAUGCAGCGACGUCGCGGGAGGGAUGGAGGCCUUCGGGUUGUGAACCUCUUUCGCCGGUGAAGAAGGUCCUGCUCUUUGUGGUGGGGUUGACGGUAGCCGGGUUAUGAAGCGCCGGCUAACUACGUG
rnacentral:rRNA from 1 species